AAAAAAAGAAAUAAAAUAUGAAAAGAAACGAAAAAGAAAGAAAAAGGGGGCUAGCAAAGUUGUUAGGAGCUAAGUAAUGUUUUGAGGUUGUGAAAAAUCCCUUGUAGAUUUCAAAGAGAAGGAGUUAAUGUUCUUAGGAUCUUUUGGUGAGAGAUGUGAGUUGGGUUUGGCAUUUGAGAAUGAUUGUGUAAUUGUAUGUUUGGGAAAAGGGUAGAACAAUGGAGAUUGAGCAUUGUAUGCAUGAAUUGAUCCCUUUCUUAGAUAUAUUAUGUGCAAUGUCAAGGCUACUU
rnacentral:lncRNA from 1 species